CAAGCGGACAAGCCGGAGGGAAAACGCGUGGGAAAGGUGUGCUCUAAAGUUUCUAGGUAAUUCAAGUAGGAGGAUGAAGAUCAAGCAAAUGCAUCCGAACCGAACACUCAAAUCAACGCUUCCGCACUUGAUCUAUUUUGUUUUAGGACUAUGUAAACACUUGUAGUUCUGUCUUGAAUAUUGUUUAGUAGGAUUAUAACGUGAAUGUUAUGUUUAGGUAUGGUCUUUAAAUCAUCAAAGUUUUUGUGAACUAUAAAUCUUGGUAUCAAAAGCAAAGUUUUAUAUCAUUAAUCUGGUAUUUUAA